rnacentral:rRNA from 1 species
UGAGGAAUAUUGGUCAAUGGGCGAGAGCCUGAACCAGCCAUGUCGCGUGCAGGACGACGGCCCUACGGGUUGUAAACUGCUUUUGUACGGGAAGAAAAAAGGCCACGAGUGGCCACUUGCCGGUACCGUACGAAUAAGGAUCGGCUAACUCCGUGCCAGCAGCCGCGGUAAUACGGAGGAUCCGAGCGUUAUCCGGAUUUAUUGGGUUUAAAGGGUGCGUAGGCGGGCUGUUAAGUCAGCGGUGAAAGUUUGACGCUCAACGUUAAAAUUGCCGUUGAUACUGGUGGCCUUGAGUGCGGUUGAGGUAGGCGGAAUGUGGUGUGUAGCGGUGAAAUGCUUAGAUAUGCCACAGAACACCGAUUGCGAAGGCAGCUUACUAAAGCGCAACUGACGCUGAUGCACGAAAGCGUGGGGAUCGAACAGG